rnacentral:rRNA from 1 species
UACGUAGGGUGCAAGCGUUGUCCGGAAUUAUUGGGCGUAAAGAGCUCGUAGGCGGUCUGUCGCGUCUGCUGUGAAAACUCGGGGCUUAACCCCGGGCCUGCAGUGGGUACGGGCAGACUAGAGUGCGGUAGGGGAGACUGGAAUUCCUGGUGUAGCGGUGAAAUGCGCAGAUAUCAGGAGGAACACCGGUGGCGAAGGCGGGUUUCUGGGCCGUAACUGACGCUGAGGAGCGAAAGCAUGGGUAGCGAACAGG